rnacentral:lncRNA from 1 species
CUACCCAUUUUAAUACUAUAAAUAGCUCCCUCUUCUGCAUUUUUUUUCCUACCUCUCAAUUCUAGUUAUUCGCUACAUUUCUCUUCAAUUGCAUCAACUAUUAGCUCUGUUGGAUGAUUGAUGAGAUUAGUGAAAGGGGAAUUGAAAGCUCUGGAGUGCAAUCACGGCCGGUGGCUGCGACUACGACUAAGGCUGACAAAAGGUGAUCUGAUCAAAAACUAAGGAGAAAUCAGGCGAGUCGCUUGAAAUUAUCCAUUCUAGGAAAAAGGAACGUAGCCACUAGAAUGGGGUGCAUCCAGUUAUCUUCUCUCAGGUUAUUGACUUUUUUGACUACUUACAAGGGGAUGUGAGUUGGAUGUGUUGGGACAUAUAUAUUAUUAAUCAUGUAUUUGGAUAUAAUAUAUUUUAAUAAUUAUUAUGGUUAAAAGUCUAAGUGGGAGAUUAUUGGAAUAUAUACUAUUAACCAUGAGUUUGGUUUAGAUAUAGUAUUUAUUAUGAAAUAAUUAUUUAUU